rnacentral:rRNA from 1 species
UGAACGCUGGCGGUAUGCUUAACACAUGCAAGUCGAACGCGAAAGAGACCUUCGGGUCUUGAGUAGAGUGGCGGACGGGUGAGUAACGCGUAGGAACCUACCUGGUAGCGGGGGACAACCUGGUGAAAACCAGGCUAAUACCGCAUACGCCCUACGGGGGAAAGCAGGGGAUCUUCGGACCUUGCACUAUCAGAUGGGCCUGCGUCGGAUUAGCUAGUUGGUGAGGUAAUGGCUCACCAAGGCGACGAUCCGUAGCUGGUUUGAGAGAAUGAUCAGCCACACUGGGACUGAGACACGGCCCAGACUCCUACGGGAGGCAGCAGUGGGGAAUAUUGGACAAUGGGGGCAACCCUGAUCCAGCAAUACCGCGUGUGUGAAGAAGGCCCGAGGGUUGUAAAGCACUUUCAAUUGUGAAGAAAAGCCUAAGGUUAAUAACCUUGGGUCUUGACGUUAACUUUAGAAGAAGCACCGGCUAACUCC